GCAGUGGUGGUUCAGUGGUAGAAUUCUCACCUUCGGUGCGGGAGACCAGGGUUCGAGUCCUGGCCAAUGCA
rnacentral:tRNA from 1 species